rnacentral:rRNA from 1 species
GACGAACGCUGGCGGCGUGCCUAAUACAUGCAAGUUGAGCGCUGAAGGUUGGUACUUGUACCAACUGGAUGAGCAGCGAACGGGUGAGUAACGCGUGGGGAAUCUGCCUUUGAGCGGGGGACAACAUUUGGAAACGAAUGCUAAUACCGCAUAAAAACUUUAAACACAAGUUUUAAGUUUGAAAGAUGCAAUUGCAUCACUCAAAGAUGAUCCCGCGUUGUAUUAGCUAGUUGGUGAGGUAAAGGCUCACCAAGGCGAUGAUACAUAGCCGACCUGAGAGGGUGAUAGGCCACAUUGGGACUGAGACACGGCCCAAACUCCUACGGGAGGCAGCAGUAGGGAAUCUUCGGCAAUGGACGAAAGUCUGACCGAGCAACGCCGCGGGAGUGAAGAAGGUUUUCGGAUCGUAAAACUCGGUUGGUAGAGAAGAACGUUGGUGAGAGUGGAAAGCUCAUCAAGUGACGGUAACUACCCAGAAAGGGACGGCUAACUACGUG